rnacentral:lncRNA from 1 species
GAGAUGUCCAAGUCCUGACAUUUUUCUUCCCUUCUCCAAACAAGUGGGUCCCCCCAGAAAGAAAGUGUCUUUGCCUCAUUGGCUCUCCAUGAUAUCAUCAACACUUGCUUUCCUUGCAGCGGCGUGGCAUGGUGGCCCAGGAGCACCGUCUCCACAGGAACUGCCUGGCUCCAGGGAAGCCCACAGCUUUGACCCAAGGAGCGAACCACCUAUGGCUGCAGCUGUUCCUAGGAGAUCCUUAUUUGUGCACGGCGUUCGAGACCUUCAGUCAUUCCUGGCUCCUUGACCUGGACUCCAUUCAUUUGGGCACCAUUUGCAGCUGAGAGAAAACGCGGGGUAAUCCUCAUGUACUUAACCUUGAUCCACCUGUAUCAACGGCCCCACUUGUGAAGAGGCCUGAAGAGAUCUGACCAGCAGAUAGGGCCCCCAGCGGGCUUCAAGUCUGUACAAGCACAGCGCGCUCUAAGUGACUCCUCCCUGCGAAUGGAAGCAAAGCCCCGUCACCUUCUGCCCUCCUGAAAACAGUCCAAAUCACAACAGGCAAGUG